GGACUUCUAGAUUUUCCAUAGUCACCUCGAGUUCAGGAAAAGUUUCAAGUGAUUCACAGUCACUAAGGUCUAACUUGACGAGGUUGCUAAGAUUUCCAAUGGAAGAUGGAAUAAUCUUAAGCUUUGUGCAACUUCGCAAGUUCAAUUCUUCAAGCCCGGCCAAAUGGUGGAAGGAUGAAGGAAGUUCUUUUAUUGCUGUUUUGUCUAAGAUGAGCACUUCAAGAUUUUCCAUAGUCACCUUGAGUUCAGGAAAAGUUUCAAGUGAUUCACAGUCAGUAAGGUCUAACUUGAUGAGUUUGCUGAGAUUUCCAAUUGAAGACGGAAUAUUCUUAAGCUUUGUGCAACUUCGCAAGCUCAAUUCUUCAAGGCCGACCAAAUGGUGCAAGGAUGAAGGUAGUUCUUUUAUGGUUGUUUCUUCUAAGAUGAGCACUUCUAGAUUUUCCAUAAUUACCUCAAGUUCAGGAAAAGUUUCAAGUGAUUCACAGCAAGUAAGGUCUAACUUGAUGAGUUUGCUGAGAUUUCCAAUGGAAGAUGGAAUAGUCUUAAGCUUUGUGCAACUUCGUAAGCUUAAUUCUUCGAGUCCGACCAAAUGGUGCAAGGAUGAAGGCAAUUCUUUUAUUGCUGUUUUGUCUAGGAUUAGCACUUCUAGAUUUUCCAUAGUCAUCGCGAGUUCAGGAAAAGUUUCAAGUGAUUCACAAUUAGUAAGGUCUAACUUGAUGAGUUUGCUGAGGUUUCCAAUGGAAGAUGGAAUGGUCUUAAGCUUUGUGCAACUUCGCAAGCUCAGUUCUUAAGCCCGGUCAAAUGGUGCAAGGAUGAAGGUAGGAGUUCUUUUAUUGCUGUUUCGUCUAAGAUAAGCACUGAUAGAUUUUCCCUUGUCUAUUUGAUUUCAGGUAACUCCUCCAAUUUUAAACAACCACGGAAACUAAGUCUUCUUAGAAGCUUUAAAUUUAAAAGUUCUGCUGGCAUG
rnacentral:lncRNA from 1 species